rnacentral:misc_RNA from 1 species
AAGUCGUAACAAGGUUUCCGUAGGUGAACCUGCGGAAGGAUCAUUAUCGAAUUUGAAAGGGGGUUGUGCUGGCCUUUAGGGGCAUGUGCACGCCUCUGCUCUAUUCUCCUUCAACCACUGUGCACCCUUUGUAGGCUGGAGAAAUCUGGUCUAUGUUUUUUAUAUACACCUAAACAAGUAUUAGAAUGUCAUACUUUUAAGUACACUCGAGAGGGUGGAAAAAAAAUUAUACAA